UUAGUUGUGAAAUAAACUUUACUUUGGAACUUGAUUAAGUGAAAUUUAGUCUAAGAUUAUCUAGAGCCUAGAUCUUGAUUCGAGUUAAUCUAGUCACUCAGUUCUAGAAAUGUCUAGAUGUAGAUUUAGAUCUAGAUUAUAAUAUAGUUUAUAGUUAUAGUUCUAGACUCUUUAAUAUAGAAUAGAGAGUCAACUUCUAUUACAACUUAGACAAAAUCGAACUGUCCAGAAUUAUGUUCAAUCAAAUUAUAGGUCUCCAGAGUCUGUCAUUCCUAAUAACAUAGACAUAGUUGAUGACCAAUCACAAUCUCCUGAUAUAGCACCUUUGAUAGAUUUAAAUUUUUCAUUUGAAUCAAAUGACAAUGAUGCAAGAAAUGUUUCUGCAAAUAUGCCUAGUUUAGAUAGUGAUGAUCUUGAGAAUAUUUCUUUUAGUUUUUUCGAAAGCAAGGAAAAUGGGUCUAUGAUUGAUUUUGAUUCUAUUUAUAAUUCAUCGGAGUCAGAAGAUGAUUCAGAUAGUAAUGAUGAUUUUAAAUUAGUCCUCAAAAGGUGGGCGUUAAAUAACCGAAUAACCCACAAUGCUUUAAAAGACUUGCUUUUGGUUUUGAGAAGGUUCACCCAUUUUGACUUACCUAUAGAUCCUCGUAUUUUGCCGGGUACAAAAGUAGUAGAAGGCAUAAAAGAAAAAACAGGCGGGCUUUAUUAUCACUUUGGUGUUAGCAAUGGCCUAAAUCAGCUUUUAAAAGAAAAUCCUGAACUAAUGGCUUCAAAUACAGUUUAUCUCCAAAUAAAUAUUGAUGGUUUGCCGUUGUUUAAGAGUAAUUCUUUGCAGUUGUGGCCAAUUUUAGGUUUGAUUUUGCAGUCUAAUGCUCCAUAUACAGAGCCAUUGUCAUAGGUGUAUUUUCUGGGAAUAAAAAACCAACUGAUGUUAAUGAGUUUUUAAAAGGAUUUGUGGAUGAAAUGCUAGUUUUAUCAAAAGAUGGUUUAAAUUUUAAUGGGCAUCAUUUAAAUGUUACAAUUAAAAAAAAUAAAUAUUUGUGACACUCCUGCUCGCUCUUUUGUUAAAUGUGUUAAAUCCCACAAUGGUUACUCUGGUUGUGACAAAUGUAUUACAGAGGGUACAUACAUGGAAGGUAGGAUGACCUUUCCUGAUUUAAAAGCAUCCCUCAGAAAUGAUAUGUUUGAUGAAAAGCUUGAUGAAGAGCAUCAUAGGGGUGAUUCUAUUCUUUCUUCUUUAGGAUUAGAAUGUGGGCUGUGGUGACAGGCAAGGUGGUCGACGUAGAAGACUGGAGACAGAUGCUGUUGGAGAGUUGGUCUGGCAUGGUGACAGCCAGGCAAUGGGUACAGCCUCUGCUUCUUCUGUUUCAUUGAAAUUAGCCACAGACCACAUUCUAGACAAUUAUUAAAUUAGUGCUUAAUAAAUAUGUAUGGUUACAACAUUCGUUUUCUGCUCCUAGCCUAAUUUUUUAAAUGACUUUUUUUCAACGUUUAUAAUUAAAUUUAUUUUUAAAAUUGUUAUUUUCUGUUGUAGAUGAAUAAUUUUGUAAAAAUAAUUAUUACUUUUUUAUUAUGUAUACAAUUUUUUAUUUUUGUGCAAAACAUUUUUUUAUUCAGUUAUUAAAAUUUUACAUUUUCUUUUUUUUUUUUGUACAUUAAUAUUUUAUUGUAUCCUUGAUGAUUGUAAGCUUUAAAUAUGUAAAUAUUUAUAAUUAACUUUUUAUUUUUAACUUUAUUUUUAUUGUCUUAAAUUAGAGGUUAUGUUUAUUACGCACACUGAUAUAGGUGUAUUUCUAUUUUAUUAUAUUAAAUACUAUUUUUGUUUGUGUCCAAAGUUUUUUUUUCCUGUAUUUUUUUAAAAUCUCAGUCAAAAUUUCUAAUUUAAUAGUUUGAUGAAAAUAGUAGUUUUUCUUAAAUGAGACAUAACUUUUAACAUUACAUUUUUUUUUCUAUUUUACUGUUAUUUUUGUGUCUCGCAUACAUUAAAAAAAUUUUUUCACUGUUUAAUUAAAUUUUGUAUUAGCUUUAUUAAGUUCGAAUUUUAUAAUACAAGUUUUAUUUGAUUCUGGCAUCAUCAUUUUUUAAUAAUAAAUAAAUCUUUAAAAUGAAUUACAUUUUAUUUUUUAUUUCAUUUUUAUACUUGGUAUGAGUGUGAAAUACAUCAAUUCAACCUGUGUUUAGAAAUAAUAUAAUAAAAAAAAAUUAACACUUCAUUGUAUGUUUUAUAAAAGUGCAUCAGGAAACCUAAUAAAACCUUAAUUUUAAUUACUAUUUAAUAAUUAAAAGUAUGGAACAAGUGUUCUAAGUGCAGUAAAGUAUCAAAGGUUAUCCCUAACUAAACCAUAAGGACUAAUACCGAUAAUGGCACAAUAAGGGUUAUCCCCAAUUGAGCCCUAAUAAAUAUUUCAAUUACUAAACCAUUGGGGCCAGCAUCGGCAUGAAAUUGGCCCAAUAAGGGUUAUCCCCAAUUGAGCCUUAAUGAAUAUUUCAUUUACUAAACCAUUUUGCUUUUAGGCACAUCGGCACAAUUUAGGCCAUGUCGUGCCUGGAGUCCCUUAAGGACUACUCUCUCUCUAAACAACAAGGGCCAAAUUCUAUACAGUCAUAUCAUUAAAAUCAAGGGCUAUUCACAGUUAAAAUAGUAAAGGUAGUAAAAAUUUAAUUAUUUUGUAAAAAUCUAAUGUAAAUAGUACAUGUUCACAAAUUCAUAAAUCAGAUCUUCGUAGACAACCCCACCUCCCGGAUAAAGCCCAGUACCUUCCCAGGGUCGACAUUAUCAAAUAGUGUUUUUAAGUUAGUGGUUCUAAAAUAUUUCUCCCUGACAUCCUGGUAUCUGGGGCAAUCAACGAGGAUAUGUUCCACGGUGAGGCGAGAGUCACAGUACUCACAAAGUGGAGCUCCUCUCUCUUCAGUACAAAAGAGUGCGUGAUGUAGGUGUGGCCAAUCCUAAGUCUGGACAUGGUCGUGCUACCACGCCUUGUCACCCUUAGAUGUGGGCCGCCACCUGACAUCCGCCACAAUCUGCCUGAGUUUAUUGUCAGUCUCAGCCUCCCAUUGGUUCUGCCACUCUCGAUAGGUGGCAGAGGCAAUACUUUGUCUCAGGUCCGAGCAGGGAAUUUGGGUUCCUGACACGGCAUGAUUUAGGGCUUUCUUUGCUUCUCUGUCUGCGGCUUCGUUUCCCUCAAUGCCAAUAUGGGAGGUGACAUCCCUAUGGUCGGCUGUUAUUUGGUCCAAACAGCUUCAGGCUCUUAUGUACCAAUGGGAUGUCAGUCUUCAUCCGCCCCAAAGCUUGCAACGCAGAUUUGGAGUCGGAGCAGAUUAUAAAUUUCCUCCUUUCUGAUGCUUUAACGGCCAUAAGUGCAAGUGAUAUUGCAUGCUGUUCGGCCGUAAAGAUGGAGAAGCCAUCGGGGAGUCUACUGCAUUGCAAGCUUUUUCAUUCUUAUAUCCAUGGGGAGUUCUCCAGCCUCCACAUGAAGACUUGGGAUAGGUGAUGUACGAAACGCACCGAGACAGAGACGCAGGGCAGCAUUUUGUAUUGGUUCCAGUAUUUUUAGAUAAGACUUCCUUGCCGCUCCAUAUAUUAUGGAUCCGUAGUCGUAGCUUGGAUCAAAUUAGACUCCGAUAUAGCAGUAGCAAGGUAUCUCUGUCUGCUCCCCAGUCCGUAUGCCCUAGUCCGUAUGUCUGAGUACUCUAAGUAUGUUUAAUGACUUUUGGCAUAUCUUCUUAAGUUCCUUAAUGUGUGGGAGAAAAUUAUAUUUGGAAUCUAGGGUGAGGCCUAAAAAUUUUGUAGUUUUCACGACAGGGAUCUUCUUUUUGUGUAUAAAUAUUUCAGGGUCUGGGUGGAGUUUAUAGUGGAAUUGUGAGUUGUGCAGCAGAUGGUCUCUGAAAGAAGGCCGCGGGGUAGGCCUACACGUUUAAGGCCCAGAAGAGUUCCCUUGUAGAAGACAGACGUAGAAGACCAAAAAAAUCUUAAAUAGACCCUAGACAACUAAUAUCAGGUACUCAUUAGAGCUGCGAAAUAAAAAAAAAAUCAGUCUUUACCAGGAUUCUAACCCGGAAUCUCUGGUUCGGUAGCCAAGCGCUUUACCGCUCAGCCAUUGUGCCUCCUGUAUAUUUCAAUAUGUCCCCAAAACGAUUCAUUGAAUAAAAGAUUCUGUUGGUAAAAGCAGUAUCUACAUAGCUAAAGACUUAAGUAGAGUCCUAAUUGUUGUUGUUUAAUGCCACGUAUUGGUUGAUUUUCUAUGAAGAUGAACAAACCCAUUUUGAAAUUGUGGUGAUAGGUAUGAGUAGUUCUUGGCGUUAUCAUUACGCAAAAAAUGAAUUGAUAGAAGUGACAAACUUAAAUAACCAUAUUUUUUUUUUAAGCAUUUGUAACGAAUGCAUGUGUAGAAGUAUUUUGUAGAUAUUUUAGUUAGGUUAUACAUACUAAUGUUAUUUGUAAAAUGUUAUUAUUGAAUACAUUGUAUUUACACGUCUGUAUUUCUAUGUUAUUUUCAUGGAAAAGGGGGGGGGGCGCCAUGCCUACCUUGCCCCGGCACACGUUUUGCACAAAAACGCCUCUGUUGUAGAUCUAUCCAAAUCUAGAUGUCGGUAUGAUUGAUAACAUGUAAAUAAUUAUCGCUUCUCUAACACUACUGUUGUGACACGGUUACUAUGUGUGGUCAACCGUGACACACGGUCAAGUGUUGGGUACUGGAGAGUUAGGGGACUUGUGGGAAGUCACGAGAGUGUUGUAAACAAGAAGAAGGAAGUCAUCUAGUGGAGUUGUUUUGUAUAUAAUGUUAGCCUGGUAUAUAUGUUAUGUUGAAAUGCUUCACAAUUAAAAGGCACUUUAUACUUAAAGAGACUUGUUUCUUCACAACUACUAUUUUAGCUAUGAAUGGACCUUAUUUUUAAUAACUUAGCUGUAUAACAUAUAUUAAGCUCUUGGGCUAUAAAGGGGAAAUAACCCUUGAGGGAUUAUGGGCACGACAUGGUCUCAAUUUUGCUGAAAACCCAAAAUAUCUAAUACAGAUUUAUUAUUUGAAUUAUUCAAUGUUCAUUAUUUAGAUCUAGAUCUAAUAAUCAAAACAUUGUUACAGAAUAGUUAAGUUGGAUUAGUAGGCCAAUAUAGUUCUGGAUUUCAUUUAUGACUUAUCAGCUGCUUCAUAAGGAAAUAACCCCUUGUAGGCCUAAUAAGUGCUUUAUAGACAUAUAAUAACGAAUGCAUGAAUCCGGAAUCCAAACCGCGAAUCUAUUAAUGACAUUAAAGUUAUCAAUGAAAAAGUCUGAAAAUGUGGAAUAGUUUUUUAGUGUUGAUGAAAUAAUGAAGGUACAUUUGUAAAUCUUUUAUCUUGUCAAUAAAUAAUAAAUAUAGUUUUUUUUAAUAAGGACAUAGAUAUACUUAUAAUGCUUUUCAUUAACCGAUUUCUCCCCAAUGAUAAAAACAAUUCACUGCAUAACCUAGACAAAGAGAAACUUCACAGGUGUCCAAGCUAAUAAAAGUUUUAUUUAGAGUUGCUAAUUGAUAAAAUAAAAAUAAUAUGAUUAAAAAAAUCAUUCUUGGCCUUGUUAUACAGCCGUUUUUAUUAAUAAGUGAAGAGGAUGCUAUAGAGAAGAUUUAAAAUAAAAGUAUUACUAUCAACAAAACUUGUUCAAGCUGGUAAGCUUAUUAUUGUGUAAAUAAAAAGUAAUUCUAUGUAGUUCUUUUGAUUUUUAAUUAUUAGCUUAGCAUUUAUCAUGCAGUUUGCAUAAAUAGACAAAUAUCACAAAAAUGUCAAUGUCUACAAUUCCACAAUAACACAAGAAUAAACAACCACAAAAAUAUCUAAAAAAAAAUAAUUUAAGAAACACAAUUUUUAAAAAUUUAUAAAUAAUAAACAAUGAAGAUUAUUUUUUAAACAAAUGAAUGCCUGUUUCAACAGGCAAUAUCAUAAUGCAUUAAUACAUCCAUUCAUUUACAUUUAUCAACCUAAUGAUUUAAACCAUUUCUAAGAAAUCCAAGAAAUACACAAUGAAGAUGUGGGUCAAGUUAAAAGUUCCAUAACAUAGAUUUAGAUAUAAAUGUACAAUUAAAUCAUUUUCUGAUUUAGCAAAAUGGAAUGAUACAAAAAAGUAAGUGAAAUAAAAGCACUCCAUUGUAUUUCUACAUCUAAUUUUAUGUACUUAAUAGUAACAAUUUUAAAAUUAUAUCCUGAUUUUUUUGAUUUACAGAAGUACUUUGAAAUAUUUUAUAAAAGAGAGAGAGACCACAUCAAAUGCUGAUCUCCCUCUAGUUUAUUUAUACCUCUAUUAUUAUUUUAAAAAAAUGGAUAGUUUUAUUCUAUCCUUAUUUUUUUCAAAAGCCUCAGUAAUUCUGUUGUUUUUUUUUCUAACCUAGCCUACAACAUUUUAAAAUAAGUAGUUUAAAAGUGAACUGAAUUAUAUUUAACUUCAAAACUGUAAAAAAAGAAGUUACAAGAGAACGAAAGCAAAGACAAACACAAAAACUCUUUUGUUCCCCUGGCAAUCAAAUCAUUAAAUACAAUUGAACUAUCUGAUAUAAAGAUUUCACAUGUAAAUUUAGAGUGUGUCUCGUGUGAAUGUAUAUUUUGGUUUUCUAUAGUUAUGUUUUAUUUGGUGUAAUGCAUAAAUUGUAAGACAAAUUGUGUUAUGUUUAAUAAAGGUUAUUAUUAUUAUUA